UCGGGAAUUUUGGGCAAUGGGCGAAAGCCUGACCCAGCAACGCCGCGUGAAGGAUGAAGUAUUUCGGUAUGUAAACUUCGAAAGAAUAGGAAGAAUAAAUGACGGUACUAUUUAUAAGGUCCGGCUAACUACGUGCCAGCAGCCGCGGUAAUACGGAGGGUGCAAGCGUUGUCCGGAUUUAUUGGGUUUAAAGGGUGCGUAGGCGGUUUAUUAAGUCAGUGGUGAAAGACGGUCGCUCAACGAUUGCAGUGCCAUUGAUACUGGUAGACUUGAGUAUGAUUGAGGUAGCUGGAAUGGAUAGUGUAGCGGUGAAAUGCAUAGAUAUUAUCCAGAACACCAAUUGCGUAGGCAAGUUACUAAGUCAUAACUGACGCUGAGGCACGAAAGUGUGGGUAUCAAACAGGAUUAGAUACCCAAGUAGUCCCUGAGCGGGCUGGCAAGGCGCAU
rnacentral:rRNA from 1 species